GCCGGCAGCCAUAUCACCCUGUAGCCCAAGACUGGUUGCCCACUGAAGCUAAGCAGGGCUGAGCCUGGUCAGUACGGGAGACCUCCUGGGAAAGCUAGAUUGCUGCUGGAA
rnacentral:rRNA from 1 species